UACGUAGGGGGCAAGCGUUGUCCGGAAUCAUUGGGCGUAAAGGGCGCGUAGGUGGCGCCGCAAGUCCAUGGUGAAAGCUCGAUGCUCAACAUCGAGUCGGCCACGGAGACUGCGGGGCUCGAGCACUGUAGGGGCAGAUGGAAUUCCGGGUGUAGCGGUGGAAUGCGUAGAGAUCCGGAAGAACACCGGUGGCGAAGGCGGUCUGCUGGGCAGUUGCUGACACUGAGGCGCGACAGCGUGGGGAGCAAACAGG
rnacentral:rRNA from 1 species